rnacentral:tRNA from 1 species
UUAAUUGAAACCAAAAAAGAGGUAUACCACUGUUAAUGGUACCAAUGAAAUCCAUUCCAAUUGAG